AUUUAUCAGUAGUGUUACCUCUGGCAAUGCUAUUUACUACUGGACUCCUCCCCUCUCCUCCCCUAGGCUCUGCAACCCCCUUCCUCCCAGACAUCUCCCAGUGCAGAUACUGACGGGACAUGGAGCUGCUGCAGCUCCUGUCUCUGCUAAUAGGGCUGUUGGCCACUGCCCUCUCAGGUGCAAAGGGCAGAUUAGUGAAGGAGUCACCCCCCUAUUUCAUGGUGAGGACAGAAGUGUCACAGUCAGUGACCUGCAUCUUGAAGAACACAACCUACCCCUGGAUGAGCUGGUACCGGCAGGAUAUCCAAGGCCCUCUGCACUUCCUGGUGCAAUCAGGAACCAAGGGUAACUAGGAG